rnacentral:pre_miRNA from 1 species
AAUAAACGAAUUUCUAAGCUUUUGGAUGAAAUUUUUUACUCUUUGUCUUAUUUGAAAAUUCUUGUGAUUAAUAUUUUUAUUAUUACUACAUUAUAAAACAUGAAUAGUGCUUUACGUGUGACUAAUUUUUUUAAUUUUUUAAUAAAUUUUUUAAAUAAGACGGAUGAUCAAACGCUCAAACUAUAAUACCCAGA